UAUCCUCUGGAGACUGUAUCUUAUCUAAGUGCUGGGAGGCACAGCCUCACACAGCCCAGGACUCAGUGAAACAGCUUCAUCACAGAUAGACAAGUAGGAACCACUGGAGCCCAGCGAGCCCAGCGUGUGUGGCGAGGCAGCACACAGCUGUGCCCUGAUUUGUACAGCUCUGGUGCCUGCCGGCUCCUAUUUCCUCCUCCUGUUAAUGACAAACAGCCAUGCUUGGUGAAGCACUGGGUCCCGAGUUCGGAUCCCAGCAACC